rnacentral:misc_RNA from 1 species
GUGAACGCCCUCACGGGCUUAUAACUAUUCCAAACCUCUGUGAACCGUGCCCUUCGGGGCUAUUUUACAAACAUGGUGUAAUGAGCGUCAUAUAUCAUAACAAAACA